rnacentral:lncRNA from 1 species
UAGCCACCUCUGUCUGCCUAUGUGUCCAGGAAGGGGCCUGGGACUGGCUCUCGGGGCCUAGCUCCUCCUGCCCUCUGGGAAAUGUGCAGAAUGUCUAAGCCAGCAAGCAGGCAUGGGAAGGGAGUGGCCGGCCGGAUGCAGGGCUCCAUGGAACAAGUUCCCCAGUGCCAGGGCAGGACAGCAGGGCCUGGAGAGCCAUCAUCAGCAGGCUCCAUCCUUCCACCUGUGAACUGUGACCUGAGAGGAGCCACCUCCUGGGAGGCCCACGAGGGGUCCUGACCAGCAGCCUGGCACCUGCUGGGGCCACGCAGAGACCCCAUGGCAGCCUGCGGGAAGGGCAGUUAUCAUCCCAUUGACAGAGCAGUGACUGAGGCCAAGCGGGACGGAGUCGCUUCCCUGGAGUCAUGGAGGAUUCGAGGGCCCGGCAUGCCCAGUGGGAAUGGCGGGAUUUCGGGCACGGCACGUCCAGAGGCAACGGUGUGAGGCCCCCUCAUUUCUGGAGCCCUGCUGGCGCCCAGCCGGGAGCCUGGGAUGGGCCCCAGAGGAAGGCGGCUGGGACUCCUGCUCCACCCCCACCUCCCCGAGCCCAUCCCAGCUGCUUCUGAGAGCGUCGGGCUGGACGUGCCCGCACGGCAGAAACAGGCCCAGAGACGAGGCUGUGUUUUGCUUGAAAGCCUCUGCGGAGUGAUGGAAUCCACAUUCCUGCCCCAGGUACAAUUGCAAAUCAGAAGCCGGGAACCGUAGAGCACAGAACACCCGUCAUGUGCGGCCCCACCUCAGGUCAGUGUCCAGCCAGACUGUCUGACCAGCGCCUGUUGAGGGGCUCUGAAGGGCCAUGGCCCGGAUGAAGGGGCUCCAGGUCACAGAGUGAGCGGAAUUGAGAUGGCCCGGUUCCUCUGCAGGUCCCCACAGCCUGGGAAGAGGAGAAUCUGAGAGCACGGCCGCCUGGGGGCAGGCCGAGGCAGGCGGAUCCUGAGGGAGCAGCCGCCUGGUGCCAGGCCUGGGGAAUUCCAGGAGGCAGAGGCCUCAAAAGCCCUCCUCCAGGCUCCGAGUUCCCAGCAGCCCCUGCCACAUUCCUCCACCUGGGUGGGCAGGGGUGCAGGGGCUCAGUGCAUUCCUGGUGGAGAUAGGGAGGCCAGCCUGCGGCCUGCGCCAGCCUCCUGCGGGGCCUGGGGAGCCCUGUCCAGGCUCUGCCGAGCUCAGCAUAUUGGAGCUGAGCCAGUCGGCCUUUGCUGGAACACUCAGGCGGAGGUCGCCUUUCGCCUUUCUGUGUGGGGAGAAGCCACUUGCAGAUAAGGCAGGGAUUCACCAGCUCCGGGGGGCUGGCAGGACAUGGCCACACUUCACCUGCAACCAAGCCUCCCCAUCUGUAAAAUACAGAUAACAAGGGGGCCA